CCUACGGGGGCUGCAGUAAGGAAUAUUGCGCAAUGGGCGACAGCCUGACGCAGCGACGCCGCGUGGGGGAUGAAGGUCUUCGGAUUGUAAACCCCUUUCGGCAGGGAAGAUGGAACGGGUAACCGUUCGGACGGUACCUGCAGAAGCAGCCACGGCUAACUUCGUGCCAGCAGCCGCGGUAAUACGAAGGUGGCAAGCGUUGUUCGGAUUUACUGGGCGUACAGGGAGCGUAGGCGGUUGGGUAAGCCCUCCGUGAAAGCGCCGGGCCUAACCCGGAAAGUGCGGAGGGGACUGCUCGGCUAGAGGAUGGGAGAGGAGCGCGGAAUUCCCGGUGUAGCGGUGAAAUGCGUAGAGAUCGGGAGGAAGGCCGGUGGCGAAGGCGGCGCUCUGGAACAUUUCUGACGCUGAGGCUCGAAAGCGUGGGGAGCAAACAGGAUUAGAUACCCUUGUAGUCUGG
rnacentral:rRNA from 1 species